rnacentral:rRNA from 1 species
AUGGGCGAAAGCCUGAUGCAGCGACGCCGCGUGAGGGAUGACGGCCUUCGGGUUGUAAACCUCUUUCAGCAGGGACGAAGCGCAAGUGACGGUACCUGCAGAAGAAGCACCGGCUAACUACGUGCCAGCAGCCGCGGUAAUACGUAGGGUGCAAGCGUUGUCCGGAAUUACUGGGCGUAAAGAGUUCGUAGGCGGUUUGUCGCGUCGUUUGUGAAAACCAGCAGCUCAACUGCUGGCUUGCAGGCGAUACGGGCAGACUUGAGUACUGCAGGGGAGACUGGAAUUCCUGGUGUAGCGGUGAAAUGCGCAGAUAUCAGGAGGAACACCGGUGGCGAAGGCGGGUCUCUGGGCAGUAACUGACGCUGAGGAACGAAAGCGUGGGUAGCGAACAGGAUUAGAUACCCUGGUAGUCCACGCCGUAAACGGUGGGCGCUAGGUGUGGGUUCCUUCCACGGAAUCCGUGCCGUAGCUAACGCAUUAAGCGCCCCGC